rnacentral:rRNA from 1 species
CCUACGGGUGGCAGCAGUCGAGAAUCAUUCACAAUGGGGGAAACCCUGAUGGUGCGACGCCGCGUGGGGGAAUGAAGGUCUUCGGAUUGUAAACCCCUGUCAUGUGGGAGCAAAUUAAAAAGACAGUACCACAAGAGGAAGAGACGGCUAACUCUGUGCCAGCAGCCGCGGUAAUACAGAGGUCUCAAGCGUUGUUCGGAAUCACUGGGCGUAAAGCGUGCGUAGGCUGUUUCGUAAGUCGUGUGUGAAAGGCGCGGGCUCAACCCGCGGACGGCACAUGAUAAUGCGAGACUAGAGUAAGGGAGGGGGAACCGGAAUUCUCGGUGUAGCAGUGAAAUGCGUAGAUAUCGAGAGGAACACUCGUGGCGAAGGCGGGUUCCUGGACAUUAACUGACGCUGAGGCACGAAGGCCAGGGGAGCGAAAGGGAUUAGAUACCCCAGUAGUC